GGGUUGACAUGUCUAGAAUUUUUCAGAAAUGGAAAAGUGCCAGAAAUGGAACUAGAACACAGGUGGUGCAUGGCUGUCGUCAGCUCGUGCGUUGACGUGUACGGUUAAGUCCUGCAACGAGCGCAACCCUCGUCUUUAGUUACUUUUAUAGUUCUCUAAAGAGACUGCGCGCGCAAGCGCUGAGGAAGGUGAGGAUGACGUCAAGUCAGCAUGCCCCAUACACCCUGGGCGACACACGUAAUACAAUGGUUGGGACAAUCAGAAGCUAAGCCGCGAGGACACGCAAAUCUGUUAAACCCAACCUCAGUUCGGAUUGUAGGCUGCAACUCGCCUGCAUGAAGCCGGAAUCUCUAGUAAUCGCCAGUCAGCCAUAUGGCGGUGAAUACGUUCCCGGGUCUUGUACACACCGCCCGUCACAUCAAGGAAGUCUGCAGAGGUCCAAGUCGUUAGUCUAACCUUCGGGAAGGCGACGCCCAAGCCUCGGUCGGCAACCAUGAUGAAGUCGUAACAAGGUA
rnacentral:rRNA from 1 species